rnacentral:rRNA from 1 species
CCUACGGGAGGCAGCAGUGAGGAAUAUUGGUCAAUGGGCGCUAGCCUGAACCAGCCAAGUAGCGUGAAGGAUGACUGCCCUAUGGGUUGUAAACUUCUUUUAUAUGGGAAUAAAGUGCAGUAUGUAUACUGCUUUGCAUGUACCUUAUGAAUAAGGAUCGGCUAACUCCGUGCCAGCAGCCGCGGUAAUACGGAGGAUCCGAGCGUUAUCCGGAUUUAUUGGGUUUAAAGGGUACGUAGGCGGGUUGUUAAGUCAGUUGUGAAAGUUUGCGGCUCAACCGUAAAAUUGCAGUUGAAACUGGCAGCCUUGAGUACAGUAGAGGUAGGCGGAAUUCGUGGUGUAGCGGUGAAAUGCUUAGAUAUCACGAAGAACUCCGAUUGCGAAGGCAGCCUGCUGGACUGUAACUGACGCUGAUGCUCGAAAGUGUGGGUAUCAAACAGGAUUAGAUACCCCUGUAGUC